CUAAUUUAAGUGCAAUCAGCCAUUGCUUGCUAAAAUAAUUAUAAUAGAUAAAAUGUUUAAGAUACUUACUGAAAAUCGGUAAUUAAAAUUACCAAUUUUUAGUAAUGAAAAUGUGGGCAUACACGACAGAACCCUCAUAUUUUCACUAUACUACAAUAUUUUCGAACAAACACAAAACGCUCGUAAGUUUUCGGUUAUCAUCGGCAAUGCUCGGUCAUUGUUUUGCCGUUGGAAUGACGCCAUUUUGCGGCCAACUGCGCAGUGCGGCCCCCCGCCUCAGGUCGAGUAUAAAAAGCGGCCAUGACGUCAAGCGCCCACAUUCUUAAUUCGGCUCGGUGAAGUGCAGUUGUGUGGCUCCGCUGUGUGUAGUGCUGGAGAUUCCAAGAAGUGAUAUUUGUGCCUGGUCGGAUACAGUCCCAUUGCGUUUCGCGUGGGCCUGCAUCCGUCGGCCGCCAUCUUGGUUGCCGCUGGGGCGUGGUCGCAGAUAACUACAAAAUGGGUUUGUAACGGUAUCAUGCAUUUAUUUGUUAAUUUUUAAGUGUUUCAAUUUAUUCUCUCGCCUAACGAUUAAAUUGGAAUUUUGAUUUUUAUUCAUAUUGAAUAAUAUUUAUUGUACAUAUGUUUAAGUAUGGAAAUAAAUAACUUUUAAAAAAAGGUCGUA